rnacentral:rRNA from 1 species
UGCAAGUCGUACGCACAGCAAUGUGAGUGGCGCAAGGGUGAGUAAUCCCGAAGGUAACCAACCCUGAAGUUGGGCAUAGCCGCGGGAAACUGCGGGUAAUUCCCAGCGAUGUUGCGAGAUGGCAUCAUUUUGCAACCAAAGGUGUGAUUCCGCUUUAGGACGGGCCUUCGUGGUAUUAGGUAGUUGGUGAGGUAACGGCCCACCAAGCCUACGAUGCCUACCGGGUGUGAGAGCAUGACCCGGCACACUGGAACUGAGACACUGUCCAGACACCUACGGGUGGCUGCAGUCGAGAAUCUUCGGCAAUGGGCGAAAGCCUGACCGAGCGACGCCGCGUGAGGGAUUGAAGGCCUUCGGGUUGUAAACCUCUUUCGUAGAGGAGGAAGGGGCUGUGAAGAGCAGUCCUUGACCUAUGGGAGGAGGAAGCUUGGGCUAAGUUCGUGCCAGCAGCCGCGGUAAGACGAACCAAGCGAACGUUAUUCGGAAUUACUGGGCUUAAAGCGCGUGUAGGCGGACUACCACGUUGGUUGUUGAAAUCCCCCGGCUUAACCGGGGAACUGGCACCAAUACGAGUAGUCUUGAGGUGGGUAGGGGAGACUGGAACUUCCGGUGGAGCGGUGAAAUGCGUUGAGAUCGGAAGGAACGCCCGCGGCGAAAGCGAGUCUCUGGACCCAAACUGACGCUGAGACGCGAAAGCCAG